AACGCGAAGAACCUUACCUACUCUUGACAUCCAGAGAACUUUCCAGAGAUGGAUUGGUGCCUUCGGGAACUCUGAGACAGGUGCUGCAUGGCUGUCGUCAGCUCGUGUUGUGAAAUGUUGGGUUAAGUCCCGCAACGAGCGCAACCCUUAUCCUUUGUUGCCAGCGGUUAGGCCGGGAACUCAAAGGAGACUGCCAGUGAUAAACUGGAGGAAGGUGGGGAUGACGUCAAGUCAUCAUGGCCCUUACGAGUAGGGCUACACACGUGCUACAAUGGCGCAUACAAAGAGAAGCGACCUCGCGAGAGCAAGCGGACCUCAUAAAGUGCGUCGUAGUCCGGAUUGGAGUCUGCAACUCGACUCCAUGAAGUCGGAAUCGCUAGUAAUCGUAGAUCAGAAUGCUACGGUGAAUACGUUCCCGGGUCUUGUACACACCG
rnacentral:rRNA from 1 species